rnacentral:misc_RNA from 1 species
AACGCACAUUGCGCCCCCUAGUAUUCUGGGGGGCAUGCCUGUUCGAGCGUCAUUACAAACCAUCAAGCUCUGCUUGGCAUUGGGCGUCCGUCCCCCGUGGACGCGCCCCAAAGACGUCGGCGGUGGCCUCGAGCCUCAAGCGUAGUAAAUUAUUAUCGCUUGUCAGGUCUCGGCGGUCGCUCGCUUCGAGAACCCAACACCUCUAAGGUUGACCUCGGAUCAGGUAGGGAUACCCGCUGAACUUAA